UUAUCACAUAUUUUUCAGCAAGAGAGAAAGAAUCUCGUAACUCUCCUCCCCAAUUUCUCAUAAAUCUUCAAAACACCAUAUCUCUUUCGUUUUAAGUCCGAAUUGAGCGAUUCUUGCGGCCACGGAACGAGAAAGUGAUUAUCUACAGAUCUAUGGCUUCAAUUUGAGACUCGAUGAGGCAAUUAUCGACAAGGCACGGAAUUUGAAAGAUCGUGAUAUCGCUUAGCCGUUUUAAAGAUUAUGGAUAGCAAGUGGGAUAGUAUGAUAUGAUUUGAAGAGUCAAGCUUCCGAAGUUUUAAUUCUCGGAAGUCAUUUGUACAAGAAGAAAAAGAAGGUUUUCAUUCUAGCAGUCCGCAGUAGUCUAGAUAUUUUAACUAGAAUUUUGUAUAACGCGUUUUAACUCUGAUAUUAUUUGUAAAUGGGGUCAUAUGUAUUUUACUAUAUGAAAUAUGUUUUGAUUUGCGAAAAAUUUACA